rnacentral:rRNA from 1 species
AGGAGUUUAGAUCUGGGCUCAGAUUGAAACGCCGGCGGGCAGGGCUCAUUCACAUGGCCAGUCGAACGGUUAACAUUUCUAGCUUGCUACGUAAGAUGACGAGUUGGCGGACGGGUGAGUAAUGCUUGGGGAACUUGCCUUUGCGAGGGGGAUAACAGUUGGGAAACGACUGCUAAUACCGCAUAAUGUCCUUCGGACCAAACGGGGCUUCGGCUCCGGCGCAAAGAGAGGCCCAAGUGAGAUUAGCUAGUUGGUAAGGUAACGGCUUACCAAGGCGACGAUCUCUAGCUGUUCUGAGAGGAAGAUCAGCCACACUGGGACUGAGACACGGCCCAGACUCCUACGGGAGGCAGCAGUGGGGAAUAUUGCACAAUGGGGGAAACCCUGAUGCAGCCAUGCCGCGUGUGUGAAGAAGGCCUUCGGGUUGUAAAGCACUUUCAGUUGUGAGGAAAAGUUAGUAGUUAAUACCUGCUAGCCGUGACGUUAACAACAGAAGAAGCACCGGCUAACUCCGUGCCAGCAGCCGCGGUAAUACGGAGGGUGCGAGCGUUAAUCGGAAUUACUGGGCGUAAAGCGCACGCAGGCGGUUUGUUAAGCUAGAUGUGAAAGCCCCGGGCUCAACCUGGGAUGGUCAUUUAGAACUGGCAGACUAGAGUCUUGGAGAGGGGAGUGGAAUUCCAGGUGUAGCGGUGAAAUGCGUAGAUAUCUGGAGGAACAUCAGUGGCGAAGGCGACUCCCUGGGCCAAAGACUGACGCUCAUGUGCGAAAGUGUGGGUAGCGAAACAGGAUUAGAUACCCUGGUAGUCCACACCGUAAACGCUGUCUACUAGCCUGUGUGUGUCUUUAAGACGUGCGUAGCGAAAGCUAACGCGCUAAGUAGACCGCCUGGGGGAGUACGGCCGCAGGUUAAUACCUCAAAGGAAUUGGACCGGUAAA